rnacentral:lncRNA from 1 species
UGCAAGGCAAAAGGGUGUUCCAUGAUAAAAACAACACAAAUAAUUACAAGCAUAUUACAUUUCAGGGGGACAAUAGCAUUGUUUUACAUGUAACCAUAACCAGUCAACGAACCAAGUACACGAUCACAUUAGAUCAUUCAAAAGCCAGAAUAUUUCCCCUAAGAAAAGCCAGAAUAUUAUGAUCAGGAACCUAACAUUAGAUGUUAUAAGAAAAUUCUGAAGGAACAGCUAGGUUAAGCUUUCUGCGAUGGACUUCUGGACGAACUGUGCAAUUGCUUUAACAGCUUCUAAUUCAACAUCAUGUUGACUUAUUCCAGCAGAUUUUUGGUAUUUUUGGCUGACUUUGAAAGAGUGGUCACCACCAUCAACAACAUGCAGUUCAUUCUUGCAGGUCAUCUUCUUCCGAGUUAACUCAAGCUUGUCCAAGGGGCAUAGGCCAUCUUUGUUGCCCUGUGAACACAUCCACCGCUAGUCAAGAUUAUAAAAAUACUAUUUACACCCUGUUUGGAACACGAAAAUUUUCAUAUUCUUGUCGGAAUUGAACUGUUUGCCAUAAAUUUCCUAUCAGACUAUGCGUUCCAAACAAUCCCUAAAAUUUUCAUUGCGCAUAUUUAUCAGAAAACAAAGAAAGAAACUAUUUUUCUUCAGUACCUGCACAAACAUUGUUGGAACCAUCAGCUUUAGUAGUAUCUCGUCCCUCAGUGCCCCUUUCGCUCCCUGUUGAAGAAAGCAAAGAUGCAAAACAAAAGGAACAUCUUCUUUAGUUUGUGAUUCUAUCUGAGAAAGUGAAUUGUCUGUAUACAAAAUGACAGUGAAUUAUCAUAUAAAAAUGUCACUGCAUAGUUGUAACAAAAAACGAGAAACAAUAGCAUGCAGAUCUGUAUACAACAUAAAUGGUUGAAUUCUACAACAAUUAAAUUGUGAUGGAGAUCCAAAUUCAUUUCGGUGUGUAUUAUAGUAUUGAACUUUGAAGAACACAGGCGCAACAAUUCAAUAAGGAGAUAGGCCAGGAAGCAACCCAAAUACUAAGUACACACAGUAAAGUGGGGAUACGGGAUACCUUCAAUGGAUAACCCAAGCAUCCUGGCCGGGGAACUCGAAUCUCUGGUGCAACUUCGUUAGGAGGAAGUGUUCCAUAUUUGGUAUCUUCCUUAAGGCUUCGUCGUUGAUGCUCCAUACUUAUCAACGACUCAUCAUAGUCGAUGCACUAGGUGUACCAAGUGUGAUUAAUAUUGAGCGUGCCACAUCACGAACAGGUUGCUCUUGGGAAGAUUCGAGUUCUUUAUGUUCCCACAACGCAGCAGUUCGUCGACAUCAUGACCAAAGGCUUGCCGACAUCCACUUUUAAGGAGUUCCGCUCCAAUCUUCGCAAGACACGACGCUUUGACUACAGAGGGGGUGCUGACAGAUGAUUGUAUUUAUUUCAUGUGUACACGUAUGUGUAUUCGUAUCGUUGUCCCGUUUGUAGCUCAAGUAUGUACUCUAUAAUUAGGGUUCUAGUCAUGAACGGACAUACCCCUGGACAUGUUAUAUACGAACACCCAUGAAGUGAAUACAGUCGUCUUGCACCAAACAAUUAUUUCUACAUUUACUAAAAAAGUAGUCUUCGCGCAUAAAAAAAUGAGACCAACCCGGACUAGAUUAGCCUGUUGGCAUUUUUUAUAGAAGAAAACUCCGUGAGCACCAAAUGCCCAUGGCUCUGUUGUUUACCUUCUUCAUGCCUUUGUCUAGCCAUGGUGCUUUCGUAGCAUCCUGGCCGGGGAACUUCUCUGGUGCAACUUCGUUAGGAGGAAGUACUCCAUAUUUGGUAUCUUCCUUAAGGCUUCGUCGUUUAUGCUCCAUACUUAUCAACGACUCAGCAUAGUUGGUGCACUAGGUGUACCAAGUGUGAUUGGUAUUGAGCGUGCCACAUCACGAACAGGUUGCUCUUGGGAAGAUUUGAGUUCUUUAUGUUCCCACAACGCAGCAGUUCGUCGACAUCAUGACCAAAGGCUUGCCGACAUCCACUUUUGAGGAGUUCCGGUCCAAUCUUCGCAAGACACGACGCUUUGACUACAGAGGGGGUGUUGACAGAUGAUUGUAUUUAUUUCGUGUGUACACGUAUGUGUAUUCGUAUAGUUGUCCCGUUUGUAGCUCAAGUAUGUACUCUAUAAUUAGGGUUCUAGUCGUGAACGGACAUACCCCCAGACAUGUUAUAUACAAACACCCAUGAAGUGAAUACAGUCGUAUUGUACCAAACAAUUAUUUCUACAGUUACUAAAAUGUAGUCUUCGCGCAUAAAAAAAAUGAGACCAACCCGGAUUAGACUAGCCUAUUGGCAUUUUUUUAUAUAGAAGAAAACUCCGUGAGCACCAAAUGCUCAAGCCAAAACUUGAACCCUGGUGGGCUGGCUGCAAAACUGAGCUAUGCUCAGUUCUCUGUCUUUACGCAUUAGGAGCUCUCCUCCAAUGUGUGGAGUGUUCAGCCCCGAAUCGGCAGCCAGCCGACAUCGUUGAUGCUCCAUACUUAUCAACGACUCAGCAUAGUCGAUGCACUAGGUGUACCAAGUGUGAUUGGUAUUGAGCGUGCCACAUCACAAACAGGUUGCUCUUGGGAAGAUUCGAGUUCUUUAUGUUCCCACAACACUGCAGUUCGUCGACAUUAUGACCAAAGGCUUGCCGACAUCCACUUUUGAGGAAACUUGCCACUGAUAAUAUUGAAAUAGUUACGAUUCAUAGAUAAGCAGCAAGAGCAAGUUUAUGUAUGAAUAUUCGGUGCGGUUUAUCUCAAUCAUGGAAAAAGCACGGUGCAAGGCAAAAGGGUGUUCCAUGAUAAAAACAACACAAAUAAUUACAAGCAUAUUACAUUUCAGGGGGACAAUAGCAUUGUUUUACAUGUAACCAUAACCAGUCAACGAACCAAGUACACGAUCACAUUAGAUCAUUCAAAAGCCAGAAUAUUUCCCCUAAGAAAAGCCAGAAUAUUAUGAUCAGGAACCUAACAUUAGAUGUUAUAAGAAAAUUCUGAAGGAACAGCUAGGUUAAGCUUUCUGCGAUGGACUUCUGGACGAACUGUGCAAUUGCUUUAACAGCUUCUAAUUCAACAUCAUGUUGACUUAUUCCAGCAGAUUUUUGGUAUUUUUGGCUGACUUUGAAAGAGUGGUCACCACCAUCAACAACAUGCAGUUCAUUCUUGCAGGUCAUCUUCUUCCGAGUUAACUCAAGCUUGUCCAAGGGGCAUAGGCCAUCUUUGUUGCCCUGUGAACACAUCCACCGCUAGUCAAGAUUAUAAAAAUACUAUUUACACCCUGUUUGGAACACGAAAAUUUUCAUAUUCUUGUCGGAAUUGAACUGUUUGCCAUAAAUUUCCUAUCAGACUAUGCGUUCCAAACAAUCCCUAAAAUUUUCAUUGCGCAUAUUUAUCAGAAAACAAAGAAAGAAACUAUUUUUCUUCAGUACCUGCACAAACAUUGUUGGAACCAUCAGCUUUAGUAGUAUCUCGUCCCUCAGUGCCCCUUUCGCUCCCUGUUGAAGAAAGCAAAGAUGCAAAACAAAAGGAACAUCUUCUUUAGUUUGUGAUUCUAUCUGAGAAAGUGAAUUGUCUGUAUACAAAAUGACAGUGAAUUAUCAUAUAAAAAUGUCACUGCAUAGUUGUAACAAAAAACGAGAAACAAUAGCAUGCAGAUCUGUAUACAACAUAAAUGGUUGAAUUCUACAACAAUUAAAUUGUGAUGGAGAUCCAAAUUCAUUUCGGUGUGUAUUAUAGUAUUGAACUUUGAAGAACACAGGCGCAACAAUUCAAUAAGGAGAUAGGCCAGGAAGCAACCCAAAUACUAAGUACACACAGUAAAGUGGGGAUACGGG